rnacentral:rRNA from 1 species
ACGGUGCUAAUACCGCAUAAUGCAGCGGCACCUAAUGGUGACAGUUGUUAAAGCGGGGGAUCGAAAGACCUCGCGUCUGAAGAGGAGCCUGCGGCGGAUUAGCUAGUUGGUAAGGUAAUGGCUUACCAAGGCGACGAUCCGUAACCGGCCUGAGAGGGCGGUCGGUCACACUGACACUGACAUACGGGUCAGACUCCUACGGGAGGCAGCAGUCGGGAAUUUUGGGCAAUGGGCGAAAGCCUGACCCAGCAACGCCGCGUGAAGGAUGAAAUCCCUCGGGAUGUAAACUUCGCAAGAACGGGAAGAAUAAGUAGGGGACAAUACCCCCUACGAUGACGGUACCGUUUGUAAGCUCCGGCUAACUCCGUGCCAGCAGCCGCGGUAAUACGGGGGGAGCAAGCGUUGUUCGGAUUUACUGGGCGUAAAGGGCGCGUAGGCGGCCAGCGCAAGUCAGUUGUGAAAUCUCCGAGCUUAACUCGGAAAGGUCAACUGAUACUGCGCGGCUAGAGUGCGGAAGGGGCAACUGGAAUUCUUGGUGUAGCGGUGAAAUGCGUAGAUAUCAAGAGGAACACCUGCGGCGAAGGCGGGUUGCUGGGCCGACACUGACGCUGAGGCGCGAAAGUAGGGGAGCGAACG